rnacentral:lncRNA from 1 species
AAAAAGACCUAUCAGUGCAUCAAGUGCCAGAUGACCUUUGAGAAUGAGAGAGAGAUACAAAUCCAUGUCGCUAACCAUAUGAUUGAUGGCUUCUCCUCGCCUCCUGCUUCCCAUGGGGACAGGUCCAGAACGGUUUGGCCGUGUGCUUCCUUCAUUUGCUCCUCCUGCACUGGUGAAGAGGAGUCCGAGAAAUGUCAUUGCAGGAAAGAAGUCCAUAGCACGCCGCUGAUGUGCAGGAGUCAGUCCAUUGGCCAGUCACAGCCUGCUGCACUCCAUUUAAUGAGGGGUAUAUUUUAUUCUGUAUUCACAGGCAUGACUUUUAGUAUGAUUCGAUCUAGGCAGAUCCAUUGGUUUCAAGUUUUGCUCCAGGUAGGCUUUGGGUGUUUUAAAAUAACGGUAUCAGCUGGCACGGUUGGCUUGUCUUCUGUUGUGAUGUUUUGCACACAUCAGUUAUUACAUGUUGUUGUAUGGACAAAUAUUUCCCAAACCCCAUGACUGUGAGUUAUAUCCAGGAAUAAAUAUUGGCAACAAAACUUAAAUGAUGAAACCUUAUGGAAUGAAUGGUAACUGAUUCAAGCUGGGCCGGAUAUAGAUAGCAAAAACUGAGGAAAGAAAGUACUCUAGUGACAUCUUCUCCUUUUUUAAUUUUCUAGUUAAGGAUUUAUUUAACUUUUGACCUUUUGGCUCAGUAUUUAUGCUUAAAAUGUAGGAUUUGUGAGAGAAAAAAAAAGCAAAACAGCCACUCUACCCAUCUAAAAUCUUUUACAAUCAUUAAUGAGCUUCGAAGGAACAGCAAAUUUACAUUCUGAGAUUUGAGUUUCUAGAUUAGUUUAUACUUAUGUAUUUCUUUAUACUUACAUGUUUGAAAACCUCAUGGAGACAGCUGAUAUUUUAAGCUAAGCUUUUUCAAGUUAUAUGUCCUCUGAUAUAGUUUAGCAAAGAAAAUUUAAAAGCCUAUGCUGAAAAAGCAAACUAUAGUUUUUCUCUUUUUCUUUUUUUUUUAAUUACAAUAAUUAUAGUGAUAUGCUCUGAAAUUUAAACUCAGCCUUUUUAACUUUUUCUUUCAUGUCUUAAAAAAUUGCAUAGUCAUGCAGAAAUCCUAUGCUAUGAAAAUAUGUAAGGUGCCAGAAAAGUUACAUGUGUUACUAUAGCAUUACUAAAAGUAGAGAUAGGUUCUCCUUGUAUUUUCAUUGAAGCUCAAGGAUUAUUUUGAUAGUUGUGUUAAUUGUGUUAGUCUUCAUGGAUGUGACUGUUGAGGCAUCCAACAUCUGUGUGCCCGUUACAAGGGCAUUUGGAGCUAUCAGACUCCUUGGUUCUCAGAGAUUUCUGUAUGUAAGUGUUCAGCUUUGAGUGUCAACACAUCCACGUAAAAUUGGUGGACAUGGGGAAACUUGCUAGGGAUUUCUGAACAGCCGGUCUGGAAACUGUAACUUGCAGUUGCUUGUAAAUGCUUCAUUGCUAAGCAGCUCAAGAUGGUGAAAGUUAGCAAUUCUGGAGCUCCGUGCAGACAUUGCUUGUAAACUGUCAACUAGUGCAUGGUUUGUGUUCUGUGCACAAAUCAUCCCUGCAAUUUAAACACCGGUGUUAAAUUUUAAGGCAGAGACAUUUGUCAUACAGUGUGGAGGGCCAGAUUUAUCUACAAAGGUGGGUUGCUUACUUCUGUAACUACAACUUCAUGUUUUUUUUUCUUAUUAAUGACUGAAAAUAUUGGAGUUUGUUUUUCCUUUCAUUGGAAACACCCAUAAAUCAUAAAUGUACAAGGUGUAAUUAUAUCUAUCUUUCAUCUUGAUUCUUGUUUGAAUGUGGGUUACCGGUAAAGGACUCUCGAGACCCAAAGAAUGGGCACUAAAUGGCCUAGUCAUAGAGGUUCCCCAUUUUCCUAAGGCUUAAUCUGGGGAAGUGGCUGCCAUUUGCAGGCUAGCAAAAAAGUAAAAGCAAAUCAUUGUACACAACAUUUUAUUUGGACAGCUGUAUAAAAAUGGCAACACACUGUGAAAUCCAUUAACAGCAAAACAUGUUAAAUUCAGCAAAAUGCAUCUCAUGUGGAACACUGAAUAAGAAAUUAUAGUCUGAGUUUUACUAGUUGGUUAUCAGAGUCUGUCUUGAAUGAAGAAAAUCAAAUCUUUUCCAUGCGUCUGCCUAUAAUAACAGCAAAUGCUGGGCUUUGAAACUAGUGUGCACCUGUAAGUCUUUGCCCCAGUACUUUUCUGCAAGGUUUUCACAUAUCUAAUCUUCAUAUCCAUUGGGAGCCCUGGUGGCAAUCCUUGCUCAAAAAGCUCCUGUUUGCAUGCUGGGGCUCACUGGUGCUCACUAGCAUUGCUUGAACAGUUGAGGAACGUUUGCACAAGUAAGCUUAGUGGGAUGUAGGAGGAAGAGCUCAAACUGGGAACAGAUUGACUCAUCGCCCUUAUCUGACUGCCAGUGCCAGCAAGGACCUCUGUGUGGUAGUCCUUUGGCUUUGGUGUGAUUCCCUGGGUGGAUUUUGUUCUGCAUGUAGUAAGAUUUUUCAAGAUUUCAAGACUUUCAGGAUUUCAAGGUUUUUUUCAAUAAUAUCAUUUUUCAAAUAAGUGUUUAAAAUUUCAAAAAAUCUCUUGUGAAGUGUUCUGCAUUUCCGUUGUUCCUGUUUAACUACGAGAUGUUGUUCAUCAAGAUACGAUGCCAUUAAGUAUUCUGGUACAGAAAGGAAAAAUGAGUUUACUCUUGCUUGGUAGAAAAUGAAAUAGCCAUGUUAACUUUAGCUCUUAUCAUGAGAUUAAAAGUCUAAUGGGGAAUAGUGUCAUUUUCAGUCUUCAAAGCCAGCAUCAGUGACCUUUUCAGAGUUUUAACUUCAACUGCCUAAUGAUUCCUCUCCUAGAAAAAGCAGAAAAAAGUCUUUUCCUUGCCAAGGAAAUGAAGAAAUGGAUGGAUAAACUUAACUGUGUGUUGGAGCCAGCUAUACCACUUUUGGUCAUAUUUAACACCAGCAGAUGGGAGGUGGCUUCCAGGCUGUAUUGCCCACGUCACCCCAGAGCACAAAGCCAAAGAACCA